ACUGUAACAUGGACCUGUUACUGUAACAUGGAUCUGUAACUUUAACAUUGAUCUAUUACUGUAACAUGGACCUGUUACUGUAACAUGGAUCUGUAACUUUAACAUUGAUCUAUUACUGUAACAUGGACGCGUUAGUGUAACAUGGAUCUGUAACUUUAAUACGGCUCUGUAACUAUAAAACGGAUCUGUAACUGGCGGAUCUGUAACUGUAACAUGAAUCUGUUACUGUAACAUGAAUCUGUAACAGUAAAACGGAUCUGUUAGUGUAAAACGGAUAUGUAACUGUUACAUGGAUCUUUAACUGUAAAACGGAUCUGUAAUACGGAUCUGUAACUCUAAACGGAUUUGUAACUGUAACAUGGAUCUGUAACUGUAAACUAUCUGCAAUUUUACAGCACUAUCUGCAACGGUAAAAUGUAAUCUGAGGUACAUCAAAUAGUAGGCUUACUAAAGAUACUUCCAUUCAUCCAAUUGUAAUAAACAUAAAUAUUUAAUGUGCAACUUAAUUAUGUUACGCAUUGUGCACAGACGUGCACGCACACACACACACACACACACACACACACAGACAGGGUAGGCACACACAUACACUAACAGACAGAUACACACAGGGUAGGUACACACACACACACAUACACAGAGUAGACAGACACACACAGACACAUACGCACACACAGGGAGGGACUACUACACACAUACACACAGGGACCACACACACACACACACACACACACACACACACACACACACACACACACACACACACACACACACACACACACACACACACACAAACUCAACCUUAUCUAACGCUCUUCGUCCUCCAUGUGUUCCUUUACCUCCACCUUGUCGGGGGCCGUGAUGAGCACCGCGGCCACCAGGGCGCCCGCGGACGCCCCGGCGCACGCCCGGAGCGACGCCACCAGGCGGUCCCCGUGUCUCAGGAGGGCCCCCGCGGCCCCCAGUUGGUAUAUCCCCAUGAACCCGCAGGCGGCGAAGGAAAGGUUCAGCGCGGCCAUUCACUCCGGGAAAGGAGGGGAGGUCUCUAUUUAGUUUAUUUGCAUAGUAUCGCGACGUCACCUCCUUCUUCACGCAGUUUUGCAGAUGUCGCGAGAUCUAAAGUCGCAGCGGGGGAGCCUGGUGUAUCUUGGUGAUUUAAACG